rnacentral:rRNA from 1 species
AUGUCCUCUAUGCUGAUGUUGAUUUCUUGGGAGCUUUGGAAGCAGCGCAACGCGAGGGUCUUCGGAAACACCGUGACUCCCUCCACGGUCAUUGUGCACAACAUCAAAGCGGAAAUUAGUUUGUGGGUGCUCGCGGGCGCUAAGCACUUUGGUCUUGUAGAGCCGCGAAGGUGA